rnacentral:snRNA from 1 species
GUGCUCACUUCGGCAGCACAUAUACUAAAAUUGGGAUGAUAGAGAGACGAUUAGCAUGGCCCCUGUGCAAGGAUGACACGCAAAUUUGUGAAGCGUUCCAUAAAAAA